ACCUACGGGGGGCAGCAGUAGGGAAUUUUCGUCAAUGGGCGCAAGCCUGAACGAGCAAUGCCGCGUGAACGAGGAAGGUCUUCGGAUCGUAAAGUUCUGUUGAAGGGGAAAAAGAGCGGAGAGAGGAAAUGGUCUCCGAUUGAUAUUACCCUUCGAGGAAGUCACGGCUAACUACGUGCCAGCAGCCGCGGUACUACGUAGGUGGCGAGCGUUAUCCGGAAUGAUUGGGCGUAAAGGGUGCGUAGGCGGCCUGCUAAGUCUGGAGUGAAAGGUACCGGCUCAACCGGUACAGGCUCUGGAAACUG
rnacentral:rRNA from 1 species